ACUUUCUCUUCUCCUGAAGAUACAGGAUCAGUCUCAGGCCAAGAACCUGGCAACCCUAUCUACAUCUGAGCUGCAUUUUUGGGGCACAUUACUUGUCUGGAGAAAAGUAUUGCAAAAUUUGGAGAAGUGCAAAUUUUGAAGAAUGGCUACGCUUCUGUUUGCGUAUUGUUUUGGAAUGUGAGAGUAAGGAGUCGGCACUAAGUAAAGAGUAUUGGCUGCCCAGAACUCAAAAGCACUGCAUCGCCAUGGACAUCACUUCUCUCCAGCCCAGAUUUCAGCAAAGAGGGUGAAGGUGCCUAGACAGUUCUCCUUUCAGGAAGAAGAACAAACAGUGCUGGCGAGACUGGAACUGUAUCAGCAACAGACAGGUGAAGGCUUGUCCGUUGCUGGGGCAGCCGAGUGUCAUGUAUCAUCGGCUGGCUUUGUCUGGCCACAGCUAUCCGCUGGAACACCACCGGUUGAGCAAACAGCAGCAACCGCCAAGCCUCCUGACAUUCGUAAGACAAGACCCAGGAGUCUGCAAAGGUGGCUGAGAACUUCCUACCACUUGGAAAAAGAAAAGAAUUGACUAUCAGGAAAACAAAGAGCUUCGUCUGUAAGAGAUGGGGGGGGGACCCCACUCUGCCUGAAAGAAGGGCUGAGUCCCUGGGUUUCAACUAAGAGUGACUGAUUGCACUUUUCUGCACACCUCCCUGUGCCUAGAAGAUCCAACAUCACUGGGCUUUUAUUUGAAAGUAAGUACCACCUUCCUCACAAUCCUGUGCUAGACUUUUCAUUGGUGUCAACAGCUGAACCCUGGUCAAGUCCUCGCACCAAGUUACCCCACAGGAAAGGCUUACCUAGCCUGCCACACUCCUCCCUCUUGGUGAAAUACUUGAAGCCAUUGGCCGCUCUCCGCUCCGCCUUCUCAUGCUUCUUCACGUGCCAGGGGAGCUUGGUGGUGAUGUUGGUCACAAAGAAGCAGCCAGGACGAAGACAGUGGUAAUGGCCUCGCAUUCGAAACUCACAGUGCUGGAAUGGGAAGACGGGGAUCAACAAGGCAAAUCAGCAUAAGCACAAACAACUGCCCUCUGUCUCAGACUGAAACCCACCUAAUCCAGCACAAAGCCUGGUGGCAUCAGUGCCUCAGUAGGUAAUUUUAGAAGCCUCAUUUACCCUGAGUAUUUUUCUCUGCCCCUUAUCCAUUUAGAUAGCACAAAUCUGUCUAUGUUUUGCAAUGUAUUGUAUGAAUCUGAGUCUUAAAUGCGGAACUUCUUCAGGCUUUCAAAGCACAGAAUGCAGCAGUCUUUGCCAACCUGGUGCCCUCCAGUUGUCUUGGACUACCAGCUUCCAUCAGCCGUAACCAGCAUGGCUGUGCUGGCUGGGGCUGAUGGGGAGACAAAAAGGAGAGGCAAGCUCUGGUGCCGAAUGAUUGUCAGUGAAUGCUGAAUGUCAGUGUGGGGCUUGGAUAAAGAAUUCGCAUUGCUUUGGCAGAGCUAAGGAGAUACAGCUCCACAGCUCCUGAGGAAGGAAAGUAUUUCCGAAAUGUGUAGAGCACAAUACGUUUUACUCGGCACCAGAGCUUGCCUCUGCUUUUUGUCUCCAGUUUGGUGCCUGUUCCCUUUUGUUCCUGGGGCUGAUGGGAGCCAUGUAGCCUAAAGCAUCUGGGGGGCACCAGGUUGGCAAAGUCUGGGAUAUAGCAUCAAAGGACCAUUCCAACAAAAACAGUGUUCUGUUGGCCAAAGAAUUUGGAGCAAUUCUUUGGGGCAAUUUGGAAGGUUACGCUCCAUAAUUAGGAAGCUGCAAUUAGGGAAUGCUUAGUUGGAGAGAUGACAGUGAAACCUGCAGUGUGGCCCUGGGCUUAAUUUGAUGGAUGGCACACACAAGAUGGUGUGAACCCCAUUUUGUUUCCAGCUGAGUCUUACUCAGAGCAGACCCACUGAAAUUAAUGGACCCAAGUUAGUCAUGUUUAUUCAUUUCAAUGAGUCUACUCGGACUAACAUUGGAUACAACCUCCCCCCAUUUCCCACCUGCUAUUCCUUUCCUCUCCUCUCCCCUUCCGUCCUGCCGCAAGUUAGAGCCCCUCUUUCGCCCUUACCUGGUUUGGGCAGAGACACUGCAGGGAGUAGUAAGCAAACUGGUCUCGCACGUUCACCAGGUUGUUGUUGGGGUUGAUGUGGUCGAGGCAGUGGGACUCUGCUUUCCCAGAGGUCUUACACACAUACUUGCAGUUCCCAAAGAGACAGUGGAAGUGGAAUUUGUUGGCAUACUUGCAAUCUGUCGCCAGACAGGGGUCACUGGGGAAUUUUUGUAAAAAAGAGGCAGGAUAAGUUUCUGGCCAGCCCUUGCCGCCCUUCCUUCUAAUUUAAUAGCUGGCGUUAGGGAGCCGGGCCUCCUGCUAGUGGAACUGCAGGCUGUUCCCUCCUUCAGAUCCCUCCUUCAGGGUGAGGGACACCUAACUUAGUGGUAGAGUACCAACACUGCACAGAGACAGUCCAGGUUCAGUCCCUGGAAACUCAGGUAGCAGGUGAUGGGAGACUUUGGAGAGCUGCUGCCAGUCAGAGUAGAUUAUACUAGGGUAGGUAUACAAAUGGUCUGGUCUGGUAUAAGGCAGCUUCCUAGGCUCCUAGCCCUAAUUUGUCCUGGAACCCUUUAGAGAGAGGGAGAGCAGCUGCCACAGAGCUUCAUGGUGAUUUCCCCACAUUAAUAAGACCAAGAUGUCUCCUGGCUUUAAAGGAGUUUUGGGGAGGGGCGGAAACAGCUGGGAUCAUGCUAUGAUUGUGGAAGGGGAACAGCACGGACGUGGUCUUCAGGAGAAAAUGUCUCUUAGGCAAAGUGGAUACCUCUCCCAGCCCUCCACUCUCCUCUUUAACUAAAGACACUCACUGCUCCUGGAACUGGAGGAAGCCGGGUUUGACCUGAGGCUUGGCGUUCUCCAGGGAAGUUGUUGUCAAGGGGGACGUGGCCAGGUUAGGCACUGACGCAGGGAUCUGAGAGAUGGUGGAGGCCAGUUGUUUCCAGGCAAGGAGGGUGGGAGUGGAGGGCACAGUCACCGGGCUCGGAGUAGGGCCAUCCGGGGCAGAGGCGUUGGCCAAGGCGGUGGAAGAAGCCGAUGGCGACGAAGGGGCUAAGGAAGUCUUGGUCUCGGCAGAAGUUGGGAAAGAGAAUUCAGAGCUUCCUUUCACUGCUCCGCCCUCGGUUCGGAAGUGGAAGCUAGGCGGGGAGGGGGAGAGAGAGAGGGAGCACAGUCAGCAUUAGGCUCCAUCUGCACUGGCUGAUUCUGGCACACGUGGGACCUGAAAAUUGCUGUGCCAUCUGCAGCUCACCAAACCUUGCCACACCUCCCAUUCUAAUCAGUCCUCCACUCCUCCGUUUCCAAAAUUUGGAAGUUAGUACCUCAUUAAGUAGAUGCAAAUUUUACUCAGAUACAGCCUUUGUUUCUGUCUGGACAAAAGUCUAGCACCCAUCUCACUAUCCUGCCCUCCUCCUCCUCUAUCAUCAGUGUCUUAAUUAUCAGCCCACUUUUCCAGGAGUUUUCACUAGUAGGUGCCCAGUUUGUUUCUUUCGGUGCUGGUGGUUUCUGGCCUUGUACAACCUUCAAGUUAUUUUAAAUCACCUCUCCUUUUUAAAAAUAUCACAGUCCUGAAAGAAAAGUGUGUGCUUGGGCUGGCAGUUGGCAAAGAGCAACGUGAACCCCAAAUCGAAGACGAAACACAGCAUCUGCAUUCAGAUGUCAUUCUAAACCAUAGUUUAGUGCAGACAUGGGGAACCUGUGGCUCUCCAGAUGUUGCAGGAGUAGAAGUCCCAUUAUUGUUAUGAUUUAGAUUAACGUCAGCUUGUUGUUUUGUCCAAACUGACACUGCGGUUAACAUGUGAACUAUGGCUUGUUUCAAACAAGCCAGCUUGAAAACUGGCCUAUUUCAAACUAAGGUUGACCACAUAUCGUGUCAGAGCUUCAACCAACAGCUUCUUAGCCACUGUGUUGCAAGGCAAAGGAAGGAAGUGUAUGAUGCUCCCUACUCAAAACAGUUGGCCAAUGCGGGAAUGUGGGAUGACCUGUGUGGAUCAACGGCGGCAUUUGCCUAUGACCAGUCCUGAGACACACACGGCUCCUGUAUCUCAAGGGCUACCCCUCUAGCUUUUUACUCUGGCUCGUUAUAACAGUAAAAGAGUACAAGUGUUGGGGGUCAGUAUCGUUUUGGAAUUCAUUGUGUGUUGGGUUUCUGGCUCAUCCCCUUACUUGGCGUGCUUGAUGGCUCCAUCCAAGGUGCUGAAGAGGGCUCCACAUUCUUCUACCACACAGUGGAAAUGCACUUUAUGAAGAAAGUCACACUGGGCAUCACAGAAGUCCUUGGUACCAAAUCUGCCAAAAUGAGACAUAUACCUUAACGGAGAGAGAUGGGAAGCGGCCUUAUACAGUCAAGCCAUUGCUCUGCUCUGACUCUCAGUGGCUCUCCAAGGUUUUAGAUGAUUUUUCUCCUCCUACCCCACCUGGAGAUGGUGGAGAUUGAACCUGCAAAAGCAUGUGCUUGAUUUACGCCACCGUGCUCUAACCUUUCUCCAAGACACACAAGCGGAAGGCAGUGUUUUACAAGACAGUGGUGGCCCUCUCUGAUGCAUGCCACAUAUCGGGAGCAAGGCAUCCCUGGUGACAAGGGCUCUUCCACAGCCUCCUAGUUACAUCCGCUUAGCUAGAAUUCUCCUCGGUCAGCUUUGAACCCAGGAGACAAGGACAUGAGGUUACUUGUGCCUAAACACAAUGGCCUGGCUGAUCAAGCAGAUACAGAGUUGACAAAAGGGGGAGACUUGCUAGAAUAUCAUUCCACAGGAAUGUCAAUGUUUUAAUUAACUGUUUGGCUUUGAAUUGGUUGGAUUUAAAUACAUUUACAUAUUGGGGAAAAUCAUUGCUGAAGGUGUCCUUUUUUAAGGCAGGGGGAGAUCCUGGAGGAGGGGAGCUGUUUCUUUUUUUACUUAUGAGAUAACUGAAAUGCAGCACAUGAACGCCACCACUUAGAAAGGAAAGGCCAUCUCUGAUGCAUUCUUUUUCGUCACUUUUGGAAAGGUGGAGCCUUUGACCGCUUUGAAUGGAUUUCAAGAAAAGCAGAGCUGAAAUGUGCUAAGUAUUACUGUUAAUACGCCGAGCCAAAAUAGCUUAAAAUAGUUCAAGGACCAUCCCUAUUGUACAUGGCAAAGGAUUUUUUCCUUUUCUUAAAUUGACAUUUUCAGUGGAGCACAUCAACGUUUGAUGCUAUGGCCCUUUUAUAUCUGAAGGAAGCUCUUACUAGCUUCUCCAGAGCUAACAGAUAGCUAGAUAGUUUGCCUUUCAGGAUGAAAGACAUCUGUAAAUGUCUUUUCCCAUCAACUUCGGCACAGUGUGAAGAGAGCAGGCGUGUCUAUGGUUUGAAAAUUGGUGGGGUUUCAAGAGCCCCCAAAAGUCCUUCUGAUUUUUCUAAGAAUGAUUUUGGUGGGUGGCAAGGCAUUCAUCAAUACAGCAGUAUAUCUAGGGGAAGGAUAGCAUUCAACACCUCAAAGAUCAAAGGAAGCUAGAGAAACAGCUUUGGGAUUCUAAAAGCGCACAGUCACUCUUUGGACAAACUGGAUUACUUUUAAAAGACAGCCUGACAAACUGAGUGGAAGAAGGGAAGCAAUGCAUCAGGCUCUGGAGGAAAGGCAUUUCACACGUUCUCAAAUUGGCUGGGAUGCAGACACCAGUCUAUGGGCUAGAAACAGGCCAAAGGAUCAUAAAUAAAGGAGAAUGACAAAUGA